rnacentral:rRNA from 1 species
UACGUAGGCAGCAAGCGUUGUUCGGAAUCACUGGGCGUAAAGGGCGUGUAGGCGGUCCGGUAAGUGAAAUGUGAAAUGCCUCGGCUCACCCGAGGACCUGCAUCUCAAACUGCCGAACUAGAGUAUGGGAGAGGAUGAGGGAAUUCCUGGUGUAGCGGUGAAAUGCGUAGAUAUCAGGAGGAACACCGGUGGCGAAAGCGCUCAUCUAGCCCAAUACUGACGCUGAGGCGCGAAAGCUAGGGGAGCAAACGGG